rnacentral:rRNA from 1 species
GCUGCGUUAACAGGUAGGGUCCGAGCGUUGUCCGGAAUUAUUGGGGGUAAAGAGCUCGUAGGCGGCGUGUCGCGUCUGCUGUGAAAGACCGGGGCUUAACUCCGGUUCUGCAGUGGAUACGGGCAUGCUAGAGGUAGGUAGGGGAGACUGGAAUUCCUGGUGUAGCGGUGAAAUGCGCAGAUAUCAGGAGGAACACCGGUGGCGAAGGCGGGUCUCUGGGCCUUACCUGACGCUGAGGAGCGAAAGCAUGGGGAGCGAACAGGAUUAGAUACCCUGGUAGUCCAUGCCGUAAACGUUGGGCGCUAGGUGUGGGGACU